rnacentral:rRNA from 1 species
AACGAACGCUGGCGGCAUGCCUAACACAUGCAAGUCGAACGAGAUCUUCGGGUCUAGUGGCGCACGGGUGCGUAACGCGUGGGAAUCUGCCCUUUGGUUCGGAAUAACAGUUGGAAACGACUGCUAAUACCGGAUGAUGACGAAAGUCCAAAGAUUUAUCGCCAGAGGAUGAGCCCGCGUAGGAUUAGCUAGUUGGUGUGGUAAAGGCGCACCAAGGCGACGAUCCUUAGCUGGUCUGAGAGGAUGAUCAGCCACACUGGGACUGAGACACGGCACAGACUCCUACGGGAGGCAGCAGUGGGGAAUAUUGGACAAUGGGCGAAAGCCUGAUCCAGCAAUGCCGCGUGAGUGAUGAAGGCCUUAGGGUUGUAAAGCUCUUUUACCCGGGAUGAUGAUGACAGUACCGGGAGAAUAAGCUCCGGCUAACUCCGUGCCAGCCGCCGCAGUAA